UGACAGGCAUCACAUACCUGGGUGGGGGGCUUAAACUCCCUGUUGUUCUAAGCAAUGCCAACAGGACUGGGAGGAGGCUAGAGACCCUGCCAGUCUACCCAGCAACCAGUGAUGCAUUCCAAAUUGGUUGCCUGUCAGCUAACAGGUGUAGGCCUUUAUUGGAUCAGGUAAAUGAGGCCAUAAGGGCUGUAUAAGUAAAGGACUGCCCAGGAGGAGGGGCAGUAGCUAUGAUGCAAACUCAGAGAAGCUGGACCAUCUGAACCUCUCUCUCUCUCUCUCUAUCUUGAAACUUGUGGUCAAGGAUCUGUUUGCCUCCAGAGGAAAUCCCCAGUGGCCCCUGGAUGAUACGUGAUAUCAAGGUCCUACACCUGCCUUAAUCUGCAGCAUCCAGCAAGGACAGGUGGAGCUCUGGGUCUAUGAUGAUGAGGACCAUGGGAAAAUCUCCAUGUCUGAAGACCUGCUGCCAGGAGGAGGUGCCUGGUUCCUGAGCAAAGAUGAGGAGCAGCCUCUUGCGGAAGGGCCUGCAGACCUGGAACCGCCACAGAUGUCCCCAGGGAGUUUGGAUGAGAUGGACUCCCUGAGACCUGAGAAGGAGCAAUGGCACAAGAGUCAGCAUUGGUGCAUCCACCUGAGGAGGGAGACACAUCACUGCACUGGGUUCAGGAAGAAGUUCAUGUGCUGGCCAG